rnacentral:rRNA from 1 species
GGGCAGUACAACGUAAGUUUAAAACCCAAAGAGCUUGGCGGUGCUUCACCAAACUAGGGGAGCCUGUCGCUUAGUUCGAUAAUCCGCGAUAAACCCAACCUAAUCUUGACCCCCAGCCUGUGUAUUGCCGUCGCAGGCCUACCUCCAAAGAGAGUAGACACACAAGCCACAUUCAUCGCUACCACGUCAGGUAAAAUGCAGCCAGUGAUUAGGGGCUGAUAGGCUACAAUUCCCGAUUGUCACUGGAACCAGCGGGGAACCCCGUCGCGAAAAUGGACUUAGAAGUAAUUUUCACUCAUCACGUGAAAAUGAAACCUGCCAUCUGAAGCGUGCACACAUCGCCCGUCACUCUCGCUGAGAAGUGAGAU